GAUGAACGCUGGCGGCGUGCCUAACACAUGCAAGUCGAGCGAACAGACGAGGAGCUUGCUCCUCUGACGUUAGCGGCGGACGGGUGAGUAACACGUGGAUAACCUACCUAUAAGACUGGGAUAACUUCGGGAAACCGGAGCUAACACCGGAUAAUAUAUUGAACCGCAUGGUUCAAUAGUGAAAGACGGUUUUGCUGUCACUUAUAGAUGGAUCCGCGCCGCAUUAGCUAGUUGGUAGGGUAACGGCUUACCAAGGCGACGAUGCGUAGCCGACCUGAGAGGGUGAUCGGCCACACUGGAACUGAGACACGGUCCAGACUCCUACGGGAGGCAGCAGUAGGGAAUCUUCCGCAAUGGGCGAAAGCCUGACGGAGCAACGCCGCGUGAGUGAUGAAGGUCUUCGGAUCGUAAAGCUCUGUUAUUAGGGAAGAACAGAUGUGUAAGUAACUAUGCACGUCUUGACGGUACCUAAUCAGAAAGCCACGGCUAACUACGUG
rnacentral:rRNA from 1 species